UGCGGGGCCGCACUCAUCGGCGCCUCCGCAGGGCUGUUCCGCGGCCCCGACCGCUGCUGUCGGGAGCACGACCAGUGCUGGGCGCAAAUCACGGCGCUGCAGUUCAACUACGGUAUCCGGAACUAUCGCCUGCACACCGUGUCCCACUGCGAUUGCGACGCCAGGUUCCGGCAGUGCCUGCUCGCCAUCAACGACACCGUCUCCAACAUCAUUGGCGUCACAUUCUUCAACCUGUUGGAGGUGCCAUGCUUUGUGCUGGAAGAGAGUGAGGAGUGCGUCCAGUGGCACUGGUGGGGCGGGUGUGAGCGUUAUGAUGUAGUGCCUCUUGCCAGGAUGGUGCAGCAGAAUCAGUACCACCCCAGCCUACCAGCAGAGAAGAGGGGAAGCCCUACUGUGCAGCCCCCAGGCAAAAGAAGGACUUUCUCUAGAAGAGGGCGUAAGUGGCUUCGACAGGAACUGAGGGCAAAGCCUAGGCAUCACCAGGUAUGGAGACCUAAGACAGCCCAGCUGCUGCAGGGCCCAGGUACCCCAGCGUUGGCCAGGGACAAGGCUGAGCUCACAACCAGGCACCCAGCAGUGCAGUGGGAGUUAGAGCCUGGCCCUGCAAAAGCACUGACAGUGUCAGGACAGGAUGUGGUUGGAGCAGAGCAAGGAGCUGGAAUCUCAGCAUGUCCUUCGUAUGGCAGCAUUAGACCCAGCCCAGCCACAGCACAGUGUGGAGCCACCCCCAUGCCAGCUGUGAAGGAGCGCAGGGAGCAGGGCACAGGGUGCAGGUGCAACAAACUCCUGGGUAAGUGUGAGCACCAGAUUGCACCCCACGAGGCAAAGUACCAGCUGCACAACGUGGACAGCCGGACACUCCUCCACUGCAACUGCACACACAGGCUGGCACGGUGCCUCCACAGGGCAAGGGACUGCAGUGACAUGGACGUGGCUGUUCUGGCUGACCAUAUCGCCAUGGACUGCUUUGUCCUGGAGCUGCCUGCUGCCUGCAGCCCAGGCAGAGUAUCACAGCACAGCUGUACCACAGUGACCAGGGCUGUGCUUGUACCUGCACGGCAGCUCAAAAAGAUUCUAAGACGCUGGGGCCUUCUGCGUGUGAGCUCCAAGUCCAAACAUCCACACAGGAAGACACAGGCCAGGGGAGGCACCCUCUGUGAGCAGUGCCAGCAUCUGUUUGUACAGCAGACACCAGGUGCUUGGCCCCACAGAGUGCUUCGAUGA
rnacentral:lncRNA from 1 species